GGUUAUGGCUCAGUGAUAGAAUGCUUGCCUAGUAUACAUGAGGCCCUGGGUUCAAAACUCAGUGCCA
rnacentral:tRNA from 1 species